rnacentral:rRNA from 1 species
CCUACGGGAGGCAGCAGUGGGGAAUAUUGGGCAAUGGAGGCAACUCUGACCCAGCAACGCCGCGUGAAUGAUGAAGGUCUUCGGAUUGUAAAGUUCUGUGAUGGGGGAUGAACACAAUGACGGUACCCCAAUAGCAAGCCACGGCUAACUACGUGCCAGCAGCCGCGCUAAUACGUAGGUGGCAAGCGUUAUCCGGAAUGACUGGGCGUAAAGGGUGCGUAGGUGGUUUAGGAAGUUGGCGGUGUAAUUCCGGGGCUCAACCUCGGCGCUACCGCCAAAACUAUUAGACGAGAGUGCAGGGGGGGGAAGUGGAAUGCCUAGUGUAGCGGUGGAAUGCGUAGAUAUUAGGAGGAACAUCAGGGGCGAAGGCGACUUACUGGACUGUAACUGACACUGAGGCACGAAAGCGUGGGGAGCAAACAGGAUUAGAUACCCCAGUAGUC